AAGCUCGCAUGCGUGAAAAUCAACGAGAUUGUGGACGACACCACGAGGGAGGACACUGAGCGGCUGGCGCGGCUCUUGGUGAUCGCUUGGAACAAGCUCACCAAGGACGAGGGCUUCAAGUUGAUCGCU
rnacentral:rRNA from 1 species